GACGAACGCUGGCGGCGUGCUUAACACAUGCAAGUCGAACGGAAAGGCCCUGCUUGCAGGGUGCUCGAGUGGCGAACGGGUGAGUAACACGUGGGUGAUCUGCCCCUUACUUUGGGAUAAGCCUGGGAAACUGGGUCUAAUACUGGAUAGGACCAUGCUGUAGGUGGUGUGGUGGAAAGAUUAGUUUCGGUAAGGGAUGAGCUCGCGGCCUAUCAGCUUGUUGGUGGGGUAAUGGCCUACCAAGGCGUCGACGGGUAGCCGGCCUGAGAGGGUGGACGGCCACAUUGGGACUGAGAUACGGCCCAGACUCCUACGGGAGGCAGCAGUGGGGAAUAGUGCACAAUGGGCGCAAGCCUGAUGCGGCGACGCCGCGUGGGGGAUGACGGCCUUCGGGUUGUAAACUCCUUUCAGCCAUGACGAAGCCCUUGUGGUGACGGUAGUGGUAGAAGAAGCACCGGCUAACUACGUG
rnacentral:rRNA from 1 species